GGUCCCAUAGCUCAGUUGGUUAGAGCGUCGUACUAAUAUUAUAAAAACAACAAGUUGUAAUCUUGGUAAUGCGAAGGCCGUGAGUUCGAGCCUCACUGGGACCA